ensembl:lncRNA
UUCAGUUUGUGUUAUGUUGGUAAGCCCUGAAACUUUUCUUGUAUUAUGAGUCUUAGGGAAGUCUGGAUGGGAAACCUGCAAAUAUGCAAAUCUGCAGGUUUUUUUACAUGAAAAAUCUGUUGCACAUUUAUUGAGGCCAGCGUUAUGGCAGGACUGCAGACAGACAGUAUGGCAGCUGUGUGAGCAGGAUGCGUUUUGGUGGUAGAAGUCACCAAAGCUACUCUUCAUGAUGUUUUUUCUGUAUCUGGAUGUAGCCUGUAAAACUUCCUUUCUAAUUAGGGUUAAUAAGACAAUAAGAUAACUCCUGCUUGUGAAGUACUCACAGAAGUCUGGGAAGGUUGUAAAGAUGGAGAAGUCCAAUUACCCUUGUUAUUCAUUACAGGUAUAAAAUUAGAGGCUACUCUUCACCACUCAAAUGUCUAAUAUAGUAUUAUUUAUUAAAUAUGAAACCUACUAUACUGCCUUCUUUGGCCAUUAAUUACCUGCCCAAGGAAAUUUCUGUUUGCAGCCAAUCAUUGACUUUCCUUUUACUGUUGUGUCUUCUACACCAAUAGUGAACCUUGUUCUUUUUUAAUCUGUUCCAAAAAUCAUGCAUAAUGUUCUUGUCAUAAAAAGGCUGCACAUCCAGUUGCAGACUGACAUGAUGCUCUUCUACAAAGUAAAUACAGGGCUUUUGUUUUCAAUUUUAUUGAAUGAACCCUGCUUAUAAGCUAUUAAGUUGAUUCAUACGUAAGUUUUCAGCUUAUGAAACAUUCAUAAAGCUCAGUUUAUGCUAGAUUGUACUAAAGUCAACCUCCCUGAAUCUGCCUGUUAGUUGGAUGUAGUUUCACUAGUGAUUUGAAAGAGACUAGUGAUGUUUUGGAGGGGAUAAGAAAGGAUAGUGAAAGGAUACCAGCUGUCCUAACUAUGAGAUCACCAUACUGACCUUUACUGGGCCAGGAUGUGCAACCUCAGUAGGAGAUAGACAAGAGACUAGGAAUAGCUAAGGCCUAGAUUAAGUAAUAAUAAUGAUGAUGAUGCUUAGAGACCCAGACCCAGCACCUAUUUAGGCUGAUAUGUCCCCACUCUCCUCUUUAGGAACUUAGGAGCCUAGGUUCUCUUUUCAGAUUGGUACCUGGGCCAGGAUGUAGACAAAGUCAACACAGCUUAGAACAGUCGUUACCUUUCUACAGGUUCAUGUGAUGUAAACUGAUUGUGUCACCUCAUUCCUCAGGGAUGGUGUGCCUAAACUCACAAAAAUCUGCAGCAGCUGGCCAUGGACAAUGAUGCAGUUGCCCUCAUGGCACAGCCUGCUGCCCUUGGGUAGCAGGACUGAACCUGCUGCUCUGACACCUCCUGCUUCUUCUUUGGGGUUGCUGCCAGAAGCUUAUUUUGUCUAAGAAAUGCAAACAGAACCGGCAAUGCUCUAAUUCUAAUGUUUACAGCUUAGAAGAGGUGGAAGUGAAUGAGACAAAGGAUGUAUGUACUUCCUUAUAGCUUUUAUGAUUCACCUGUCAACUAUCACUGAUCUGUGGAAGGACUAAUCAAAGAGAUCACAACAAUCCUUGCUAUGUUAGGCAAUCUACAGAGUUUGGACUGUGAA